CAGAAAUGUAUGUUCUCUUCGGAGCAUUGGAGACAGGUGGUGCAUGGUUGUCGUCAGCUCGUGUCGUGAGAUGUUGGGUUAAGUCCCGCAACGAGCGCAACCCUUAUCCUUAGUAGCCAGCAGGUAAAGCUGGGCACUCUAGGGAGACUGCCAGGGAUAACCUGGAGGAAGGUGGGGAUGACGUCAAAUCAUCAUGCCCCUUAUGAUUUGGGCUACACACGUGCUACAAUGGCGUAAACAAAGGGAAGCGAAGUGGUGACAUGGAGCGAACCCCAAAAAUAACGUCUCAGUUCGGAUUGCAGGCUGCAACCCGCCUGCAUGAAGCCGGAAUCGCUAGUAAUCGCAGAUCAGAAUGCUGCGGUGAAUACGUUCCCGGGUCUUGUACACACCGCCCGUCACACCAUGGGAGUCAAUAACGCCCGAAGUCAGUGACCCAACCGAAAGGAGGGAGCUGCCGAAGGCGGGAUGGAUAACUGGGGUGAAGUCGUAACAAGGUAGCCGUAUCGGAAGGUGCGGUUGG
rnacentral:rRNA from 1 species